rfam:Myceliophthora thermophila ATCC 42464 chromosome 5, complete sequence.
GGGUGACUAGUCUAGUGGUCAGGACGCUUCGUUGUGGUUGAAGAACCACGUACGAUCCGAAGAAACCCCGGUUCGAUUCCGGGGUCGCCCA